rnacentral:rRNA from 1 species
UCUUAGUGGCGGACGGGUGAGUAACGCGUGGGCAACCUGCCCUGUACCGGGGGAUAACACUUAGAAAUAGGUGCUAAUACCGCAUAAUAAGGAAGACCGCAUGGUGAUCCUUUGAAAACUCCGGUGGUACAGGAUGGGCCCGCGUCUGAUUAGCCAGUUGGCGGGGUAACGGCCCACCAAAGCGACGAUCAGCAGCCGGCCUGAGAGGGUGGACGGCCACACUGGGACUGAGACACGGCCCAGACUCCUACGGGAGGCAGCAG